rnacentral:lncRNA from 1 species
UAUCAUCCUCACUAUUACAAUAUUUCUUAAAAUGAUUGCCUACCGAUUAAACUAAUAAAGAAACUAUCUGAAGGAGAUUAUUCUUCAGACCACCAAUGGGAAGUGAAUGCAGACGCAGCAGUCAAUGAUGACGGUAAUUUGGUAUGUUCUUAUACUAUUGUUAGGUGAUUGGAAGGUGGUAUGAUAAUUUGUGAAAGAAAUUGUGGCCCAAAGAUCCCAAAGGCAGUACAAGUUGUUGAAGUUCAUAACUCACAAACAACUAACCCAGGAUGGUCCCUUAUUACACUAGAAUGCCAUGUUCUUCUUGUCAUGGGAUAUCACCAUUGAAGAGUUAAGUUUGCUUUUUACCUGCAGCAUUAUGUAAAAUAUAUAUUGCUGGAUUAAACCAGGUUUUCCUAAUUAUCAACCCCUUUUCCAAGUUCGAUUUUGCAUAUUAUGUAAAUAUAGAGGAAACCGUAGGGAGAUCCAUGUUUAUAGAAAAAGAUAAGGUGAGAGGUACAUGUAUGAAUGCUGAGAUUCAAGACAGAAUUUAAUUCGUUGUAGGUCCCCAAAGUGUUUUUGGGAUAUUUAUUGCCUUGGGCUAGAAAGAAAGGAUUAUAUAUUGUUUUUGUCAAUAUAUGGAGAAGAAAAUCGUAUUGUAUAUGUUGACACCAUUUUUUUGUUUGAAAACGGG